GGGGUUUGUUAACACGCGUACGCCUGUUUUUCAGUUGGUACGUUUUAACAAUGUGUACCGGAUUAUAGUAGACAAAAAUACCCUCAUUUAUCAUGGAUUCUAAGUUUUAAGGUCAAAGAUAUUUAAAUAAUUUUCAUUCUCAAAACUAAAAAAAAAAAAGAAACCCUCAAACCCUUACUCACCUCCCUCAUUCCUCUCAACCCUUUCUCUUUCAUCUCUCUCACUCUAACAUUUUCUCUGUCAUCCCUANNNCCCNANNNNAAAAAAAAAAUCAGAAACACUUGCCUAACCCUUGUCCUUUU
rnacentral:lncRNA from 1 species